rnacentral:lncRNA from 1 species
CUCAUCGUUGUUGUGCGGUGCUGUGCAUCUCUCUCUCUCUCUGGGACCGGUGUGUGGGCACAGCUAAGAGGUAGGGGAUCCAAGUGCAUCUGAUCUAAUUGGGAUGGAUUGGGGGAUAUCCCUGUUCGCAUCCCAGCUGUGAUGUCAGUCCUUGUGUGCAGAAAGCACAACGGCAGCCUAGGGGACUUCUACAACUGUAAACGGCACUAUAGCUGGAGGGUCGGAUGGUCUCUUUGUGGAGCCCCAGUGCCUGAGGAGCUGGGAGAAGCUGUUGAAUUGCCCUUAUUAAGCCAGUGAUGAACGGAUUUAGGUCUUCAAGAGCGGAGUCGGAAUGGCAAGCAGAUACACCAACCCCCCAGGACCAGGAUUGGAGCUGGAUCCGGCAUAAGGCAUUGUGGUCCCACAGCUUGUGUUGUGGCAGUAGCGAGAACGAUCUUGAAGCUUCUACGACUGGCAGCACGGUUUUGAUUGUAGACGUAAUAAGGCCCACAUUUGUUGCUUAGCAGAUGCUCUUAUAGAAACUGAGUUACAGAUACAAGGAACUACAACUGUGCCACGGUGAUAGCUGCUGCUGCAAAGCCAAACGACCGAGAGCAGGCCCUUAUCCUGACAUCUCAUGUGAAGGACAGAGCACAGAGGGCAGAGGAGAGAGCCAGUACCUCUCUGCGGAGCUCACAAGGGCCGUGGGGCGAACCAGCGCGCUCUUGGGCCGAGGGGAGGGCUGGAGCUGGGAGGAGUGACAGCUCUCGCCGGCGGUGCUGCAAGCUGGCAGAUCCCUUACGACAGUGGCCAUCGGGGUCCCAGUCAGCGUCUGGGACAUGGCCCAGACCGGAAAGCUGUCCGGAAGACGGGGCUCAGGCCCUGCUCCUAUCGACUGCCCCCUUUGGAAAGCCCCUAAAUCCUGAAUUUCAUGCUGACAUAAGAACUGAGUGUGUACACAUAUCAAAAAGAAAUUGUCUAAACUAAAUCCUAAUGGAAAGGAGUCAAAUUGUCGGUUGCUACGGUGAACCUUUUCAAGGACGGGCUGCCCUCGAGCUUCGCGCUGUGUCUGCCGUCUGCCUGCACACCCUGGAAGACUUGCACUGUAUAUUAACACAAUCAGUCACUCUAUAAAUGGCAAGGCAUGAAAAUC